AGUAUUUUUUUUAAACAUAAAAAAAGCUAACAAUGCACUGUUCCAAAUUAUUACGCACAGUACGUUUCAAAACACUUUAUAGGUUGUAAAGAACUGAAAAUUGUCAUUUGUUGUGUUUGCAGCAUAUUAACUGAAAUCAAAAGCUAUUUCAAUCAAACUUAUAACAACAUUUUAACUUUUUAAACAUUUUAACAGGUCACGUUACAUUUAAA